GGCAAUGACCUUUCCAUCAAGUCCAAUACGAGAUGCAUCACAAUAAACUAUAUAAGGCCUUGGAUCUGUGGGAAAAACCAGCACCAGUAUCGUAGUCAAAGCUAUCUUGAGCUUCUGAAAGCUCUUCUCACACUCGUUCGACCACCUGAACUGGGCACCCUUCUGGGUCAACCUAGUCAAUGGGGCUGCGAUAGAUGAAAACCCUUCCACAAACCGACGAUAAUAGCCUACCAAUCCCAAGAAACUCUGAACCUCUAUAGCUGAUACUGGUCUAGGCUAGUUCUUGACUGCCUCAAUCUUCUUCGGAUCAACCUGAAUACCCUUUGCGGAUACAACAUGACCUAGGAAUGCAACUGAACUCAACCAGAACUCACAUUUUGAAAACUUGGCAUACAACUAACUAUCCCUCAAAGUCUGAAGAACUACUCUAAGAUGAUGUUCGUGCUCCUCUUGGCUACGGGAAUAGAUCAAAAUAUCAUUAAUGAAGACUAUCACGAAUGAAUCCAAGUAAGGCCUGAACACUCGGUUCAUCAAAUCCAUAAAAGUUGCUGGGACAUUUGUCAACCCAAAUGACAUCACUAGGAAUUCAUAAUGCCCGUACCGAGUGCGAAAAGCUAUCUUAUCUCAAGUCAAUCUUCGAAAAUAUCUUAGCACCCUGAAGCUGAUCAAACAAAUCAUCAAUCAUCGACAAUGGAUACUUAUUCUUGAUUGUAACCUUGUUCAACUGCCGGUAAUCAAUACAAAUUCUCAUCGAUCCGUCCUUCUUCUUAACAAACAACACCGACACACCCCAAGGCAAAACACUAGGUCUAAUGAAACAUUUCUCAAGCAAGUCUUGCAACUGCUUAUUCAACUCUUUUAACUUAGGCGGGGCCAUAUGAUACGGCAGAAUAGAAAUGGGCUGGGUGCCCAGAGCCAAAUCAAUGCAAAAGUCAAUAUCCCUGUUGGGUGGCAUACCCGGCAGGUCUGAUGGGAAUACCUAAGGAAACUCACGAACAAUGGGCACAGAAUCAAUAGAAAGGGCCUCAGCACUAGAAUCACGAACAUAGGCCAAAUAGGCCAAACACCCCUUCUCGGCCAUACGUCAAGCCUUCAUAUAGGAGAUAACACUACUGGUAGAAUGACCAGGAGUUCUCUCCAUUCUAAACGAGGUAAAACCGGCAAGGCUAAGGUCAUAGUCUUGGCAUGACAGUCCAAGAUAACGUGAUAAGGUGAUAACCAGUCUAUCCCUAAUAUGACAUCGAAAUCAACCAUAUCCAGAAGAAGCAAAUCUACACGAGUCUCAAGACCCCCAAUCCCAACUAUACAAGAACGAUUGACUCGAUCUACCGCAAUAUAAUUACCCACCGGUGUAGAUACAUAAACAGGAGCACUCAAAGAAUCACUAGGCAUGACCAGAUACGGUGCAAAAUAAGAUGACACAUAGGAGUACGUAGAUCCUAGAUUAAAUAAAACUGAAGCAUCUCUGCUACAAACCAGAACAAUACCUAUGAUAACCGCAUCGGAAGCCUCAGCCUCAGGCCUGGCUGGAAGAGAAUAACAUAGGGCUGGGUCCCGCCACCCUGAACUACAUCUUUAGGAUGGCCUACUGCUGGCUGGCCUCCACCUAUAAAGGCCUGAGCUCCACCUCUAAUACCUCUACCUCCACCUCUAGCACCUCUACCUCCACCUCUAAUACCUCUACCUCUACCUCCACCUCUAGCUGACUGAGCGGGUUGAACGAGUCCCUCAAUGAACAUCCCCACUCCCUCUCUCAGUGGAAUUACGGUGAGGCAAUGACAGUGAGGGAAAGGCAAGUAGUCAGAAGCAGGAAGCAUAGGAAAGAGCAGUAAGAGCAAGAGCAGUCCGCAAAGCAGCUGGUUGAAGUAUGGCAAGGGGAANNNNNNNNNNNNNNNNNNNNNNNNNAAUACUUUGAAUGAAUGUUGAAUGGGAACUGGGAUAGGAACUGCUACUGGCGGAUCUUUGCCUAGAACCGAAGCUGACCUUUAGCUAGCCGACCAUGUGCCAGAAGUCUAUACUGGCAUUUCAAUAGGUCAAGCAAGUCCGCUGGCAAGCUUGUAGGCUAUUGGCUUCUUCCUAUAUCCCUGUUCGGGAAAGCUAUUGAUUCCAUUACCGAACCAAAAAAAAUUAUUCCCUUAGUUCUACCUACCACCCUUUCACACUGUUUAAGGGGCAGCAUCUAUUGAGAGUGGAUUUCAGGUGUUUAGAUAUUUCAAGCAUAAGCAGUAGUUGAACCAGCAUAAUGAAAAAGCUAGCAAAAGUAGAAGAAAUUUUCCCAAAAACAAUGAUUGAUUUUAUCGUC
rnacentral:lncRNA from 1 species